rnacentral:rRNA from 1 species
AUUGAACGCUGGCGGCAGGCCUAACACAUGCAAGUCGGACGGUAGCACAGAGGAGCUUGCUCCUCGGGUGACGAGUGGCGGACGGGUGAGUAAUGUCUGGGGAUCUGCCCGAUAGAGGGGGAUAACCACUGGAAACGGUGGCUAAUACCGCAUAACGUCGCAAGACCAAAGAGGGGGACCUUCGGGCCUCUCACUAUCGGAUGAACCCAGAUGGGAUUAGCUAGUAGGCGGGGUAACGGCCCACCUAGGCGACGAUCCCUAGCUGGUCUGAGGAGAUGACCAGCCACACUGGGACUGGGACACGAUCCAGACUCCUACGGGAGGCAGCAGUGGGGAAUAUUGCACAAUGGGCGCAAGCCUGAUGCAGCCAUGCCGCGUGUAUGAAGAAGGCCUUCGGGUUGUAAAGUACUUUCAGCGGGGAGGAAGGCGAUGUGGUUAAUAACCGCGUCGAUUGACGUUACCCGCAGAAGAAGCACCGGCUAACUCCGUGCCAGCAGCCGCCGUAA